GACGAACGCUGGCGGCGUGCUUAACACAUGCAAGUCGAACGGAAAGGCCCUGCUUUUGUGGGGUGCUCGAGUGGCGAACGGGUGAGUAACACGUGAGUAACCUGCCCUUGACUUUGGGAUAACUUCGGGAAACUGGGGCUAAUACCGGAUAGGAGCUCCUGCUGCAUGGUGGGGGUUGGAAAGUUUCGGCGGUUGGGGAUGGACUCGCGGCUUAUCAGCUUGUUGGUGGGGUAGUGGCUUACCAAGGCUUUGACGGGUAGCCGGCCUGAGAGGGUGACCGGCCACAUGGGGACUGAGAUACGGCCCAGACUCGUACGGGAGGCAGCAGUGGGGAAUAUUGCACAAUGGGCGGAAGCCUGAUGCAGCAACGCCGCGUGCGGGAUGACGGCCUUCGGGUUGUAAACCGCUUUCGCCUGUGACGAAGCGUGAGUGACGGUAAUGGGUAAAGAAGCACCGGCUAACUACGUG
rnacentral:rRNA from 1 species